CGGGUUGUCAUGCCAAUGGCACUGCCCGGUAGCUAAAUGCGGAAGAGAUAAGUGCUGAAAGCAUCUAAGCACGAAACUUGCCCCGAGAUGAGUUCUCCCUGAGACUUAAAGUCUCCUGAAGGAACGUUGAAGACGACGACGUUGAUAGGCCGGGUGUGUAAGCGCAGCGAUGCGUUGAGCUAACCGGUACUAAUGAACCGUGAGGCUUAACCUU
rnacentral:rRNA from 1 species